ACAGAAUGAGUGGCAGGCCGAUUGGAUAUGAAAAUAUAGCUCCGACGGAGAGGGCCAAGAUCCCAGGGAACCUAGACUCGGCAGAGCCUCCACCGGAACCCCACCCCUCUCCAGCGCCCCCCCCCCCCGCCGCCGCGAUGCCUAAAGAGGAGGCUGCGUGGCCCCUUGCGCGCUGUAGCUGCUUCUCCCAGGUACAGGAGGCACGUGCGCUUCUGCGUUUUCCCGACAGGCGGCGCUGUCCUAAUGCAUUUACUUAUUAUAUGUGUCUGAAUGUUCUGCCUGCAUAUAUGUCAGUGUACCACAUGUGUGGCUGGAGCCCUUGGAGGUCAAAAGAGAGAAGGAUAACCCGGGCUGCUCUCUCCAUCUCAAGAGCUUGAGGACCAGCCCAGCUUCGAAGCAUCUGUCAUGUGAGGGUGAACUCAGAUGUGAUCAUCCUGGGAGUCACCCACCAUUCAGCCCAGCUCCAGCAUCGUGUAAUGAACUUUUACAAGUGUUUCCAUUGGGUACCCCAAACUCCCCUGAGGAUGCAGGGUGCUUCAUCACCUGUGGGGAGCAUUCUCAGACCCCUUGGCAGUAAGUCACCUCUCCUACUCUACCCACCAGAGACAAACACUUGUUUCUUCAUUUCCUGCUGAAAAUGAAUUAAUAGCCCUUCAGCCUUUGGCUCUGGCUUUUCCUUCUUAGCAAAGCAUCACUGGUAUUUGUCCACACCAUGUUAGUAUCAUUUUUUUUUAAUUGCUGAGUAGUAUUCAAGCUAGACAAGCCUUAGUCAACUUACCCUGCCCCCUCUUGUUGAUGGCAUUCUGAUCUUUGUUGCUGACAUUGUUUGUCCCUUGGCUUGUAAUAACCUCCUUGCCAUUGACUUGUGGACCCAACACAAAAUCACACCCAUAGGCCUUCCAAGAAGCAGUGUGAAGGUUGGGGCUUUGAAAAACACAUUGUAAUCCACUGCCACACCUCAGUUCAGGGGACUGCUCCCUCCUCCCUUGUACAUACUUUGACCUUUGUCCUUGACUGUUUUAUGGUCCUCACUUGUAGAUUUGACUCCUAAUACUGCAGCCCACACCGCAGAGGGCAGGAACCAGGGGGUUUCACUCUGCCUUAUACCUGGUGCUGCCUGGAGCAGGAGAGGCACAGGCCUGGCAAGCUGACACCAAUCCUACUGUUCUCACCAUUAACAAUGAUCCUCAUGGGUUGUGAAUAAAAUGUACCCACAAAGCUCUUGGCAUGGAGCAAGUUUCUAAAACAGGGGGAUAGAACUUGUUUGUGGAAGACACAGAGGAGCCUGUGAUAAAGUCAGUGACGUGCUAGGAAGCCUGGGUUUCUUUUCAUUCUUAUAGGAAGGAAAGAUUUGCUUUGUUUCAAAAACAGACGUGACCCGAGAGCCAGAUAAGGAGGGAGCUCCUCUUCCCAUUUUCCCUACUUUGCUUUUUAUUGCUGUGAUAAAUACCAGGGACCAAAGCAAGUCGGGCCUGAGAGGGUUUGCUUUGCCCUAAACUUUAUAGCCAUCAUCAGAAGACAAGACAGGAACUCAAAAGGGGCAGGAACCUGGGGAAUUGAAGAGGCCACGGAGGAAUUCUGCUUACUCAUUUGCUUUCCAUGGAACAUUCAACUUGACCUUUUAUAAAACCCAUGAUCACCUGCCCAGGAGUGGGUCCACCCCUAAAAAAUUGAUUAGAAAAUGCCCCACAAGUUCUCGUAAGGGCCAGUGAAGGGACCAGUCAACCGAGGGGCUCUCUUCCCAGAUGACUGUAGUGUGUGUCAAGUUGACACAAUGUGCCAGGCUAACUGGCACAACUGACCUCUUGACAGAGUGACACAGGGACACAUCACUAUUAAACUGCAACUUUUACUUUCUUGGUUAUCCUCAGUAUUUCAUGAUAUAAAUAUAUACCCCGGUAUAAAACAUACCAUAACCUUAAAUGUCCUAUAGUCUUUUACAUUUUAAAAGUCCAUGUUCCUGGCUGGAGAGAUAGCUCAGUGGUUAAGAGCACUGACUGGUCUUCCAGAGGUUCUGAGUUCAAUUCCCAGCAACCACAUGGUGGUUUACAACCAUCUGUAAUGGGAUCCAUUGCCCUCUUCUGGUGUGUCUGAAGACAGCAAUGGUGUACUCACAUACAUAAAAUAAAUAAAUAAAUAUUUAAAUUCCUGCUCCCUU
ensembl:lincRNA